UCCUACGGGAGGCAGCAGUGAGGAAUUUUGCGCAAUGGGGGAAACCCUGACGCAGCAACGCCGCGUGAGUGAAGAAGGCCUUCGGGUCGUAAAGCUCUGUCAGGUGGGAAGAAUGUCCCCGGAAUGAACAGUUUCGGGGAGUGACGGUACCACCGGAGGAAGCACCGGCUAACUCCGUGCCAGCAGCCGCGGUAAUA
rnacentral:rRNA from 1 species